rnacentral:rRNA from 1 species
CCUACGGGAGGCAGCAGUGAGGAAUAUUGGUCAAUGGGCGCGAGCCUGAACCAGCCAAGUAGCGUGAAGGAUGACUGCCCUACGGGUUGUAAACUUCUUUUAUAAGGGAAUAAAAUGAGCCACGUGUGCCUUUUUGUAUGUACUUUAUGAAUAAGGAUCGGCUAACUCCGUGCCAGCAGCCGCGGUAAUACGGAGGAUCCGAGCGUUAUCCGGAUUUAUUGGGUUUAAAGGGAGCGUAGGUGGGUUGUUAAGUCAGUUGUGAAAGUUUGCGGCUCAACCGUAAAAUUGCAAUUGAUACUGGCAGCCUUGAGUACAGUAGAGGUAGGCGGAAUUCGUGGUGUAGCGGUGAAAUGCUUAGAUAUCACGAAGAACUCCGAUUGCGAAGGCAGCUUACUAAACUGCAACUGACACUGAGGCUCGAAAGUGUGGGUAUCAAACAGGAUUAGAUACCCGUGUAGUC